UACGUAGGGGGCAAGCGUUGUCCGGAAUCAUUGGGCGUAAAGAGCGUGUAGGCGGCCCGAUAAGUCCGCUGUGAAAGUCCAGGGCUCAACCCUGGGAUGCCGGUGGAUACUGUCGGGCUCGAGUCCGGAAGAGGAGUGUGGAAUUCCUGGUGUAGCGGUGAAAUGCGCAGAUAUCAGGAGGAACACCGAUGGCGAAGGCAGGUCUCUGGGCAUUAACUGACGCUGAGGAGCGAAAGCAUGGGGAGCGAACAGG
rnacentral:rRNA from 1 species